rnacentral:snoRNA from 1 species
UGGGCCAAUGAUAAAGAUAUGUCACCAACCAAGGAUUAUGAUUAAUCCAAUUUUGUGCACCUGN